GUCAAUACUGAGUCGUAACUGACGGAGGAGGGUGUUAAACACUUCUAAUACGGUGGGACCUGAGGUGGGAGAGAGGGACCCUGCUGUUAGUGAUGUCAUAUACAUUUGUAUACGGAUCAGUCUGCAGUUAAGUAGGUCUGUGAAUCUGCCGCUGAAGUUCCCAAACUGAGGGUCCAAAGCAGUGGAUCUUGGAGCCCAGAGUGAAGGCCAGUAAAAGUCGUCGUGGCUUGAGUGGCACAUCUCGCUGAAACGUGAGACGAAGAAGUCGUAGCUGCGGUGGUACGAUGGCGUGUCCUCCUCUAUAUUGGCAAACUUUACAAACUGCAACAGAGCGAGAGCCCAAAUUACUAACUCU